UUUGUACUCCCUCCGUUCGGAAUUACUUUUCGCAGAAAUGGAUGUAUCUUGACGUAUUUUAGUUCUAGAAACAUUCAUUUCUGAUACAAGUAAUUCCGAACGGAGGGAGUAAUAU
rfam:Triticum aestivum genome assembly, contig: Triticum_aestivum_CS42_TGACv1_scaffold_094297_2AL